GGUGAGGUGUCCGAGUGGGGGAGGGAGCACGCCGGGAAAGUGUUUAUCCGGCAACGUAUGGGGGGUUCAAACCCCCCCCUCACCGCCA
rnacentral:tRNA from 1 species